rnacentral:rRNA from 1 species
UACGUAGGGAGCAAGCGUUGUCCGGAAUCAUUGGGCGUAAAGCGCGCGUAGGCGGCCCUGUAAGUCCGUUGUGAAAGUCAAAGGCUCAACCUUUGAAAGCCGAUGGAUACUGCAGGGCUAGAGUCCGGAAGAGGCGAGUGGAAUUCCUGGUGUAGCGGUGGAAUGCGCAGAUAUCAGGAGGAACACCAGUAGCGAAGGCGGCUCGCUGGGACGGUACUGACGCUAAGGCGCGAAAGCGUGGGGAGCAAACAGG